UUGUCCUUUUUCUCCCUCCACGCAAACCUCAGUCAACUCCUCUCCCUCCCUCUUGGUUGGGACUUGUAAUUGGAAAAAUCAAUGCCCACAGAAUAAUACCAGCGAUGAUCCUUCCGCAGGUUCACCUACGGAAA
rnacentral:misc_RNA from 1 species